UAAUACAUAAGUAACCUGCCCUAGACAGGGGAUAACUAUUGGAAACGAUAGCUAAGACCGCAUAGGUACGGACACUGCAUGGUGACCGUAUUAAAAGUGCCUCAAAGCACUGGUAGAGGAUGGACUUAUGGCGCAUUAGCUGGUUGGCGGGGUAACGGCCCACCAAGGCGACGAUGCGUAGCCGACCUGAGAGGGUGACCGGCCACACUGGGACUGAGACACGGCCCAG
rnacentral:rRNA from 1 species